rnacentral:rRNA from 1 species
CCUAAGGCGAGGCUGAAAAGCGUAGUCGAUGGGAAACAGGUUAAUAUUCCUGUACUUCUGGUUACUGCGAUGGAGGGACGGAGAAGGCUAGGCCAGCUUGGCGUUGGUUGUCCAAGUUUAAGGUGGUAGGCUGAAAUCUUAGGUAAAUCCGGGGUUUCAAGGCCGAGAGCUGAUGACGAGUCGUCUUUUAGAUGACGAAGUGGUUGAUGCCAUGCUUCCAAGAAAAGCUUCUAAGCUUCAGGUAACCAGGAACCGUACCCCAAACCGACACAGGUGGUCGGGUAGAGAAUACCAAGGCGCUUGAGAGAACUCGGGUGAAGGAACUAGGCAAAAUGGCACCGUAACUUCGGGAGAAGGUGCGCCGGCUAGGGUGAAGGAUUUACUCCGUAAGCUCUGGCUGGUCGAAGAUACCAGGCCGCUGCGACUGUUUAUUAAAAACACAGCACUCUGCAAACACGAAAGUGGACGUAUAGGGUGUGACGCCUGCCCGGUGCCGGAAGGUUAAUUGAUGGGGUUAGCGCAAGCGAAGCUCUUGAUCGAAGCCCCGGUAAACGGCGGCCGUAACUAUAACGGUCCUAAGGUAGCGAAAUUCCUUGUCGGGUAAGUUCCGACCUGCACGAAUGGCGUAACGAUGGCGGCGCUGUCUCCACCCGAGACUCAGUGAAAUUGAAAUCGCUGUGAAGAUGCAGUGUAUCCGCGGCUAGACGGAAAGACCCCGUGAACCUUUACUGUAGCUUUGCACUGGACUUUGAGCCUGCUUGUGUAGGAUAGGUGGGAGGCUUUGAAGCGUGGACGCCAGUUCGCGUGGAGCCAUCCUUGAAAUACCACCCUGGCAUGCUUGAGGUUCUAACUCUGGUCCGUGAUCCGGAUCGAGGACAGUGUAUGGUGGGCAGUUUGACUGGGGCGGUCUCCUCCUAAAGAGUAACGGAGGAGUACGAAGGUGCGCUCAGACCGGUCGGAAAUCGGUCGCAGAGUAUAAAGGCAAAAGCGCGCUUGACUGCGAGACAGACACGUCGAGCAGGUACGAAAGUAGGUCUUAGUGAUCCGGUGGUUCUGUAUGGAAGGGCCAUCGCUCAACGGAUAAAAGGUACUCCGGGGAUAACAGGCUGAUACCGCCCAAGAGUUCAUAUCGACGGCGGUGUUUGGCACCUCGAUGUCGGCUCAUCACAUCCUGGGGCUGAAGCCGGUCCCAAGGGUAUGGCUGUUCGCCAUUUAAAGUGGUACGCGAGCUGGGUUUAGAACGUCGUGAGACAGUUCGGUCCCUAUCUGCCGUGGACGUUUGAGAUUUGAGAGGGGCUGCUCCUAGUACGAGAGGACCGGAGUGGACGAACCUCUGGUGUUCCGGUUGUCACGCCAGUGGCAUUGCCGGGUAGCUAUGUUCGGAAAAGAUAACCGCUGAAAGCAUCUAAGCGGGAAACUUGCCUCAAGAUGAGAUCUCACUGGGAACUUGAUUCCCCUGAAGGGCCGUCGAAGACUACGACGUUGAUAGGCUGGGUGUGUAAGCGUUGUGAGGCGUUGAGCUAACCAGUACUAAUUGCCCGUGAGGCUUGACCAU